GCCCCUUUAGCUCAGAUGGCCAGAGCGCCCGCCUCGUAAGCGGGAGGUUCGUGGGUUCGACUCCCGCAGGGGGCUCAA
rnacentral:tRNA from 2 species